UAAACAACGUUGAGAAGGACCAGUAAAGAAACGUGUGUUUUUUUAGAGAGGGAGUUGUACGGUGAAAGACUCCUAAAGACCACUUCUUGAACCUACCUUUGAGUUCGAUCUCGAAAGAUAUUCGCGGCGACAGUCGUUAACAUGUAUGAGUGUGAAGCUUUGCUUCAAAUGAGGGUGGUACCGCCAUGGAGACAUGGUCCCUCGU
rnacentral:ncRNA from 1 species